AAUCCAUGGUGAGGGUAGCUUCUCAAUAAAUCCUUGUAUCUCUCACAUGCAUCAUAUAGUGUUUCUAAGUCCAUUUGUACAAAAGAAGAGAUAUCAUUCCUUAACUU
rnacentral:snoRNA from 1 species